CCUACGGGUGGCAGCAGUGAGGAAUAUUGGUCAAUGGACGAGAGUCUGAACCAGCCAAGUAGCGUGAAGGAUGACUGCCCUAUGGGUUGUAAACUUCUUUUAUAAAGGAAUAAAACGAGGCACGUGUGCCUUUUUGCAUGUACUUUAUGAAUAAGGAUCGGCAAACUCCGUGCCAGCAGCCGCGGUAAUACGGAGGAUCCGAGCGUUAUCCGGAUUUAUUGGGUUUAAAGGGAGCGUAGAUGGGUUGUUAAGUCAGUUGUGAAAGUUUGCGGCUCAACCGUAAAAUUGCAAUUGAUACUGGCAGUCGUGAGUACAGUUGAGGUAGGCGGAAUUCGUGGUGUAGCGGUGAAAUGCUUAGAUAUCACGAAGAACCCCGAUUGCGAAGGCAGCUUACUAAACUGUGACUGACAUUGAUGCUCGAAAGUGUGGGUAUCAAACAGGAUUAGAUACCCCAGUAGUC
rnacentral:rRNA from 1 species